rnacentral:rRNA from 1 species
UAAACAUGCAAGUCGAGCGGAUGAGUUUGAGCUUGCUCUUCGAUUCGCGGCGGACGGGUGAGUAAUGCCUAGGAAUCUGCCUGGUAGUGGGGGACAACGUUUCGAAAGGAACGCUAAUACCGCAUACGUCCUACGGGAGAAAGCAGGGGACCUUCGGGCCUUGCGCUAUCAGAUGAGCCUAGGUCGGAUUAGCUAGUUGGUGAGGUAAUGGCUCACCAAGGCUACGAUCCGUAACUGGUCUGAGAGGAUGAUCAGUCACACUGGAACUGAGACACGGUCCAGACUCCUACGGGAGGCAGCAGUGGGGAAUAUUGGACAAUGGGCGAAAGCCUGAUCCAGCCAUGCCGCGUGUGUGAAGAAGGUCUUCGGAUUGUAAAGCACUUUAAGUUGGGAGGAAGGGCAGUAAGCUAAUACCUUGCUGUUUUGACGUUACCGACAGAAUAAGCACCGGCUAACUCUGUGCCAGCAGCCGCGGUAAUACAGAGGGUGCGAGCGUUAAUCGGAAUUACUGGGCGUAAAGCGCGCGUAGGUGGUUUG